rnacentral:rRNA from 1 species
GAUGAACGCUGGCGGCGUGCCUAAUACAUGCAAGUCGAGCGAACAGACGAGGAGCUUGCUCCUCUGACGUUAGCGGCGGACGGGUGAGUAACACGUGGAUAACCUACCUAUAAGACUGGGAUAACUUCGGGAAACCGGAGCUAAUACCGGAUAAUAUAUUGAACCGCAUGGUUCAAUAGUGAAAGACGGUUUUGCUGUCACUUAUAGAUGGAUCCGCGCCGCAUUAGCUAGUUGGUAAGGUAACGGCUUACCAAGGCGACGAUGCGUAGCCGACCUGAGAGGGUGAUCGGCCACACUGGAACUGAGACACGGUCCAGACUCCUACGGGAGGCAGCAGUAGGGAAUCUUCCGCAAUGGGCGAAAGCCUGACGGAGCAACGCCGCGUGAGUGAUGAAGGGCUUCGGAUCGUAAAACUCUGUUAUUAGGGAAGAACAAAUGUGUAAGUAACGAUGCACGUCUUGACGGUACCUAAGCAGAAAGCCACGGCUAACUACGU